UACGGGGGGAGCAAGCGUUGUUCGGAUUUACUGGGCGUAAAGGGCGCGUAGGCGGUCAGUGCAAGUCAGUUGUGAAAUCUCCGGGCUUAACUCGGAAAGGUCAACUGAUACUGCUCGACUAGAGUGCGGAAGGGGCAACUGGAAUUCUUGGUGUAGCGGUGAAAUGCGUAGAUAUCAAGAGGAACACCUGCGGCGAAGGCGGGUUGCUGGGCCGAUACUGACGCUGAUGCGCGAAAGCCAGGGGAGCGAACGGG
rnacentral:rRNA from 1 species